AAGGUGCUUCUUUCCACUUCCAGAUACACCCCUGUUCCAGGUGUAGGGCUGCAGGGAGGGGCCCUCACACGCGAUGUGAUUCCCUCCCACGUCAGCCACAAGGGUCAGCCCACGCUGUUUCCUGAACUGUUGUCUGCCUUCCUGGUGCCCCUAACAAAGGGAGGUAACAACAGCGCUGGGCUCCCCCUCUUAAGUGUGAAGA